rnacentral:rRNA from 1 species
ACGUAGGGGGCGAGCGUUAUUCGGAAUUACUGGGUGUAAAGGGUAUGUAGGCGGCCUCACAAGUCGUAUGUAAAAGUCCAGAGCUUAACUCUGGGUUCGCAUGCGAUACUGUGGUGGCUUGAGGGCUGGAGAGGUGAGCGGAAUUCCCGGUGUAGUGGUAAAAUACGUAGAUAUCGGGAGGAACACCAGCGGCGUAGGCGGCUCACUAGACAGUUUCUGACGCUAAGAUACGAAAGCGUGGGGAGCAAACAG